UAAGUGUGGUUUGCCAAUGUGUCAUGAU
rnacentral:sRNA from 1 species